CCUGGUUCAAACAGUACAUAAGUAAAAGUCGUUUGUUUCGCCGUAAAACUGUCCGAUAGUGAAAAAUUAUUGCCAUCGUGUAACAUUUGUUACGUCAAACCAAUUUGUGUGUUAUACGCUUGGAUGCACAGGCGCACGAGCGCGACAUUACCGGUGUUGUCACGUUGGAACUAACUUUGCACAAUUCCAGUGAGCUAGAGUUACGCGGUUCGGUUUAAUCGUAGAGCAGUAACUUCGGUUCGAGUCGUUUGACUUCGAGAUUAGUCGAAAACUCAACAGCUCCGUUCACGAGAACAGACUAUUUGUCUUUGCACGCGGUGGCCCGAACCAAACAAAUUACACGAAGCUCUUCAUUUGUGAGUCCACCCCCCCCCCCGGGUUAAAUAAUGCGAAAGCAGACACGUUACAUCCGACGAUAUACGUCCAACUUUCUCAUGACGUCGAUAGAAACAUCGGAAGCUACGAUAGUAAUUCAACGUUCUUUCAAAAUUUUUCCAACGACAUUCCGAUAUUCUAUCUUAUUGGAGAGAAAUUCCAAAAACCCAGACUCAUCUGUCGGCAGCAUAGCACGAAGGCAAUCGACUGAAUCCUGAGAUUCCGAGAUUCGUUUGGCUGAGAGAAAAACAAAGAAGAAAGGAGAGAAAGAGAACAAGAAAUAGGUAGAGAGAAUUGGUAGGUCGGUAAACAAUUCAUCUUUAAAAUUCAUCCAGAUUCUCUUUUAUAUUCCACCGGUACGACUCCGUUUCCGGGCCGCGUGAGCCAGAGAUCCAUCAAAAAGGUUCCGGUGUGCUUGUAGCAGCAUUCUCCAUGGAUAAGGGUGGAAACGGAUACGCGGGAUGAUGGCCGAGCCGGGGUCGUGGCAGAACGGGAAAACAAAACCGGGCAGGAGAUGAAUCCGUGGAUAUGCCGUAGCGUCAUAAUUCCUUCCUUAUUGUUUGUCCUCCAUUUUUUAUCUGUGGAAAACGAGAGACUGUCGGCCGGCCUUCGAGCAAGGUCGAAAAGAGGUAAGCUGUCUGUGAGCUGACAGAGUGGAAAACAGAAAAAACGUGGCACGAAGAAGGGAACUGGAUGAAAGGGGGGCGCGAUGGGAAGAGAAAAAUGAAAGAAUCGCGCCUCUGAAAAAAGAUACGGGAUAUGGAUUUCGAAGCUGGACAGCGGCUACUGGGAAUGGGAUUUAAUGGCAUCCGGAGACCAGAUGAGGGUAUCAUAAAUGUUAUUUUAAUAAAGAGGACAGAAUAGAGUGCAGAAGAAACAUUUAUCGCUUGAAACCCUGUAGUCGAAGAGAACUAGUAUGUCUAUGAUGGUGGAAGAAUAAAUAAAGAAGCAGUGGGGAUUAAAGAAGCUAAAAGCAAUAAGUGACAUGGCAUGUUCGUUUUCUACUUAAUAUAGUGAAAAAGGCUGUUUCUGGGCAGAACAAACGGCCAACGAUCGUUCGCCUAUUAGCUUUCUCCAACAAGCGUGUUUACACGCACUAGUUUCCACGAUGAAAAUGUUUGUCGUAUAAAUUAGCGAUCCGUAACGGCCUGUACGAGCGUACGUGUCACUUUGCGACAGAAUUCUACCCCAUUCGUAUGGGGGAACGCGUAGGUCGAUAUUUGUUCUGUGAAAAAGUCCGUAGAGAUGUUCGUAUUCGUGGCAGAUCUCAAAGAAAAAUCGCCAAGUUUCAACAAGAGAAACCAUUUGAAAGCGUGUCUCCAUGGUUACUAGCGAUGGUGCCAGCGAUAAUCGUGAGAAUCUUUCUAAAAAAAGCACCGAAACCUUGAAGAAAGACGAAAGCCUGGUGAUCCGACGCUACUUACGCGAGAUAAAUUCCUGACUUUUUGUAGGAAGAUAAAAGCAAACCCCCCCUCUCAAUGAAGAAAGGUGAAGGGUAAAACAUUUGUGCCUGACCUAUGACGACGGGAAUUUCUUUGCUUACUAUCGUAGAAAGAAUCAGUUAACAGGCACGAUCGACGUUAUUAGACCUGAAAAUUUCAAAAGAAUUCUCGAACGUGGACGUUUCAAAGAGUAAUAUUUUUAAUAUUUUCUUUGUGACGUAAAAAAUAUUCACUUCGCUAGUAACCUUUUCUUCAUUCCGUUUUAUCUACAUCGAAUUAUACUCGUUUGAAGCUUAAUGUGGCUCACGAUUACGCUAUCUAGGUUGGCGUCGAUUGACCAGUCUCAGCACUUCUGAAAUAAUUAAUAACGAACAACGAAAGGCUUAAAGUAUCUGUGCGUGUGGCCCCGUGUCUCUUUGUGGCGCAAGUCUCGUGGAAAAAGUUAGUAAAGCGGGCGGAUAAGUGUUUUUUAAAAGGCAUCGCUGUCGAGAUCGUGCUCACGGUGAAACAAGAAAGAUAAUUAAGUGCCAGUUUCUAAAUUCUCGUAUGGACAAUGUAAACCAACGAUGAAUUUAACAUCGCGUAAUUCUUCGUCAUUUACGAGGCCGUACAAUUUCCAGCGAACUCUUAGAACGAAAAGUUAUCUGUGCCAGAAAUACUACACAACGCAUAGUCGAGAAAGAAUACUCUCUUGUUUCGCAUACAUUUCGCGUGUUCGCUGAAAGAACGAAAGAGAAAGAGAAAAAAUAUGUGUGAGGGAAAGUAUGUAAUGUGAAUACACGAGGCUCGCGCGUAACUCGCGUGUAACUCGCGUGUAACGUUGAACAAAAGCUAUGAAAUUAUCUUUAAAGGACAGUCCGGAAGGAUACGUGGAGCUGUUUAAAAUGUAAAAAAGGGAAUGUAGGAAAGGAGUAUACCCUUUUGAUCGUGGCUAUUGUUUGCGACCUGUAAAGCGUACUCAUCAAGAAUUAAAUUUAGCCCGCAUUUAAGCGAGAAACCAAAUACAAACGAGCUCGUGCUCUUCGUGCUCAUAGCGUUUAUUCGUAGUAAAUCUAUACUUUGCCGAGAAGCUAAAUUACCGAAAGGAUUCUUUCAGUUGAAAAUCAAAACAGCAAUCUCUAAAUAACUUUCCAACGUGCCAGGGUAAAAUUGUUCGCGUAAUUCCAAAGUAUUUCGACGGAAAAAUGAUUCCUCUUCUGUGUCGAAACGCUACCCGUGUCGUCGGAACGAAAAAUCCAAGCCACGAUAUCAAAGUUGCCGUACGAAAAAUAAACGAAAUCUCGCUAUGUUACGCAAUCUUGAAACAUAAGCGGGCUAUGUUCGCAGAUAAAAACUGGCUGGCUGGAUAAUCCGAGAUAAAAGCCCGCCGCGGUUUCGACUGUCCAAAAAAAACUUGAAUUUCGGUCAUCCUCUCUUUCCUUCGAGUUGGUGAGAUCAGAUGGUGAAGUUUGGGUUAAAUAACUGGUGGAGAUCCGGCAGGAAUCGUGUGCCAGCAUGAGUUUCAAACGGCUGUCGGGCAAGCAAAACGGGCGAGGAGCUUUAAAGCUCGAGUUCGUGCUACGGCACGUACCUACAGAUGAUCGUCGUUUUCCCCGUGACGCUCUCCGGUGUUUCCUUCGAACCAGGAACUCCUUCGAUUCGAUGCAACCGUUAGCUUUGCAAAAACGAACCGUGAAUCUUUCAUGUCUCUCUGACUUUCUAUAAAUGAAGCUUUACCAGUACAAUUUUUUACAUUUGGGAUUAAUCGUAACAGGAAAGUAUUACAUAUAGCAGCGUCCGAUUUGUGCAUUGUCGAUUGCUACUACUAUAAGCUAUUCAAAAUUAGCUGUAAAUUAAAUUUUAAUACUAGAAUUUCCUGUAUGUAUAUCUUAUGCAACAUCAUACAGGUUAAUAUUACUGCAUGUACUCGAAAUUAUAAAUUAAAUUUUAGCUGUAGAAUAUUUGAGGUUCAGAAUUCUGAUGAAGGGAUAUACGUAUAUUAUGCUGUAUAUAAAUUAGAUAUAUCGUCUGACCUGUACAGGUUGCUACUAUAGUAACCUAUUCGAAGCUAUAAAUUAAAUGUUUCUAUUCAAAUUUUUAAUCUCCAGAAUUAAUAUAACGUAGUAAUAUUUCGUAUCGUCUGACCUGUACCGGUUCCUACCACUUGAAUUCGAAGCGUAUCAUAUGCGUCGCCUAAGAAAUUCGUGCAAUCGUUAGCUAUCAAUAUUGGAAAAGCAAUUCUAGAAAUAAUAUCGUGUAAAAGAAGUAUUGCAGCGACGUUACAUAGAAAUAUUGUACGACAUUAGAAAGAAAUAUUGGUUUCCAAGUAACAAGCAAUUAGAAACGCGACAGUAGAAAUGGUCCGCCACGAAUCAGACUACGAGUCUGUCGUCAAACAAAUGAGUGGCGCGGAAGAUAGCUUCGUAUAUUGACAAAUAGGAGACAGAUAAACUUUGUACGUUAACAAGUAACGAUGUUACAGGUGCAACUUGUAAAAAUUUACACUCGCUCAUUCAAGGAAU